CGAUACAGGGUGACAGCCCCGUACACAAAAAUGCACAUACUGUGAGCUCGAUGAGUAGGGCGGGACACGUGGUAUCCUGUCUGAAUAUGGGGGGACCAUCCUCCAAGGCUAAAUACUCCUGACUGACCGAUAGUGAACCAGUACCGUGAGGGAAAGGCGAAAAGAACCCCGGCGAGGGGAGUGAAAAAGAACCUGAAACCGUGUACGUACAAGCAGUGGGAGCCUCUUUUAUGGGGUGACUGCGUACCUUUUGUAUAAUGGGUCAGCGACUUAUAUUCUGUAGCAAGGUUAACCGAAUAGGGGAGCCGAAGGGAAACCGAGUCUUAACCGGGCGUUAAGUUGCAGGGUAUAGACCCGAAACCCGGUGAUCUAGCCAUGGGCAGGUUGAAGGUUGGGUAACACUAACUGGAGGACCGAACCGACUAAUGUUGAAAAAUUAGCGGAUGACUUGUGGCUGGGGGUGAAAGGCCAAUCAAACCGGGAGAUAGCUGGUUCUCCCCGAAAGCUAUUUAGGUAGCGCCUCGUGAAUUCAUCUCCGGGGGUAGAGCACUGUUUCGGCAAGGGGGUCAUCCCGACUUACCAACCCGAUGCAAACUGCGAAUACCGGAGAAUGUUAUCACGGGAGACACACGGCGGGUGCUAACGUCCGUCGUGAAGAGGGAAACAACCCAGACCGCCAGCUAAGGUCCCAAAGUCAUGGUUAAGUGGGAAACGAUGUGGGAAGGCCCAGACAGCCAGGAUGUUGGCUUAGAAGCAGCCAUCAUUUAAAGAAAGCGUAAUAGCUCACUGGUCGAGUCGGCCUGCGCGGAAGAUGUAACGGGGCUAAACCAUGCACCGAAGCUGCGGCAGCGACACUGUGUGUUGUUGGGUAGGGGAGCGU
rnacentral:rRNA from 1 species